CAUAAUAAUGAUAAAGAGUAAUAUUUACGCUAUGGCUUGUCGUAGCAGGAGUAUGUGAUUACUAGCUGGAUGGGUUGCCCCAAUAAUAUGGUGUAUGUACAUUUCAAUAUUGCAGCGAGCAUCGAGUUGGGCACCCACGAGUGCAAUUGAGGCGCCUGCAUGCGCAGGAGCAACCUUUUCUGGUCGCGAUGAAGUUGCCAGCGAGCAUCGAAUUGGGCACCCACGAGUGCAAUUGAGGCGCCCGUGUGCACAUGAGCAACCUUUUCUGGCCGUGAUGAAGUUGCCAGCAAGCAUCGAGUUGGGCACCCGCGAGUGCAAUUGAGGCGCCCGUGUGUGCAGGAGUAACCCUUUCUGGUCGUGAUGAAGUUGCCAGCAAGCAUCAACUUGAGCACCCGCGAGUGCAAUUGAGGCGCCCGUGUGUGCAGGAGUAAUCUUUUCCGGUCGUGAUGAGGUUGCCAGCGAGCAUCGAGUUGGGCACCCGCGAGUGCAAUUGAGACGCCCGCGUGCACAGAAGUAAUCUUUUCCGGCCGUGAUGAAGUUGCCAGUGAGCAUCAACUUGAGCACCCGCGAGUGCAACUGAGGCGCCCAUGUGUGCAGUUGUUGGCACCCGUGCGUGCAGACAUGAGCAUCGUCGAUUGCCU
rnacentral:lncRNA from 1 species